rnacentral:tRNA from 1 species
GGGGUUGUGGCUCAGUGGUAGAGCACUUGCCUAGCACAUGCAAGGCGCUGAGUUCGAUCCUCUGCAACACAU